AGCAAAUUACAGCUGAAACUCUUGCAAAAGGUGUAGAUCAAACACUUUACAAGAGCCAUCCCUACGCUAACAGGGCAGGAUUACGAACAGACACAGUGAGAAAAAGCAUCAGGGUCACAAAGAAGAAGGAUUGUGCCGUGGUCCAAGAUUUUUGCUUAGAAAACAGAACUCAAAUGAUGAAGCAUGCAAAUAACCAUAGACCACAAAUAAAAGCAUCACCUUCCAGGCAAGGCAAGUACAAAUUUGGUUCAAGUGCACUUUCUUGACUCUCUCUGCAGGGUAUAGCUCUGAGACAAGCUUGUUUUGAAAAGGUUUUCAUAGAGCUAUUUUUUUUUUUAUCUUGCUGUCUUGUUAAUCUCUUUUUCUGUAACAGCACCUUCUACAAGCAGACUGUGCAUGAUUAAGAAAACAAUAAUGCAAAGAUAAAAAUAUCUGUAAACAUAAAUUAGAAACAUCCAACAUUUCAUGAUAAUUGUGAUUACUAGAGCAAAAUAGUACAACAAUUUCAAUACCAGUUCCUUGUCUUUUCCACAGUUUUGACAAGUGAAUGGGAAUUAUUUCUGUUUAGAUAAUAAAGAGGAAUAGUGAAGUUUUGGAAGCAGAAUGGAUAGAACACCAACAGAGAUCACACACUUCAGGUAAAGGGAAGAAAAUUUCGAACCUUACAGUAUGUAAAUAAACAUUUUUUGCAAAGAAAUAAGAUAUUAACCAAGCAUUUUAGAAGUAUCAACCAAAUGAACAAUAAAGAAUAAAACAAAUAAUGUCAGAAGAUUUUAAAAAUUAAUUUUCGAAUGUCACUUUCAUUGCACAACCCAAAACAUCAUAUGAUUCUGCUGAGAAUCCAGUCCUACUAAAGAGCUCUUGUCAAGGGCAUCACCAAAAUUCCCUUUAAUUUAACAGAAACAAGAUAUUGCCAUUCUGACACAGAUAGAAAGAGGAAUGAUGAGAUUUUGCAAGUCCCACCUUCUCUGUAACUGCACAGCUUUGGAAAGAGCUGUUGUUUUAACUCACACCAUACAUGGCAGGAGAACUGUGAUCCUUGAAGUGCAAACACAAAUAACACGUGGAAACCCUGGGGAAAAAAUGCACAGAACACCCCUACAGAAAGAAGACCAAUCUCUGUCUUUGGAGGUCUUCAAAACUCAACUGAACAGUGUCCUCCUCAACCUGCUUUAGGUGACUCUGCAUUGAUAAGGAGGUUGGACUAGACAGUCCUCAGAGGUGCCUUCCCUUCUCAGCUCUUCUGUGAUCAUAUGAAGGUAAAGGUAGCAUCAAAGUGGGAACAGAAGCAUAUUAAGACAUGCUACUCUAGGACAAUAAGAAGAUAUUUUUAAUAUAAAACUAUGUUAUUAUCCCAUAAUUUCUUGUUUAAAUCAAAACUUUUAACAUGGUUAGCAGCUGUUUUCACAAACAUGGAUGCUCUCUUCUUGAUAUAUUAAUAAAUGUUCUUAUCUGAGAAUUUAAUAAUGAUUUUAAAUAAACAAACAAGCCAAAAUAAUAUAACGAAAAGGGCCUUAUGGUAUUAUUGAAGUCCCCUUACAUUUUAAUAGCAUGAACCAGAAGGAACCAAAGUGAAGCUUAAUGCCACAAGUCAUAACAACUUAAAAUCCAUGUAUCUUUUGAAGGGAAUAUCUUGCAGAUCUUGUGGAUCAUAGAGUAGAAGGACAAGUUUUUUACAAUUAAAAACAUUCUAAUGCAAAAGUUUAAAAACAUUUCAGACAGUGUCAGCCUAUAUAGUUAUUACUAUAUAUAUCUUUGACAAUGCGGUUGCAUAAAUUCUUGAAAUGGCACUUGAUCUUCAUUGAUCUAAGCGAUCACUUCAGCAAUAUCUUUUCUGCCUGAUUUUCCUUCAAAUGUUCUCAUCUCAAUAGCAUUCUAGAAAUGCACAUUCAAAUACAUCAAAAGAUCAUGUUAAAUCUUUGCUAACUGAACUUCACUAUAGAUUGAUGUACAUGAAUUACUAUAGAUUGAUGUAUAUGAAUUAAUGUGGGCGUAUAUGUACACAAACUUGAUUCACUGCUUCCAGCAAAGAAGCAACAUGAAAAAAAGGCAUUACUACUACAGUGAGACAACACUACCCCACAGGAAAUCAGAUUAUCUGCAAGUAAAUCGUAAAUUAUGAAAACAAAACUCUGAUGGAUUUACUCUGAAUUUAUAGAAGUUGUAGAUUUUAAAGGCCUGUGGCAAACUUUUUUCCUUUUCUUUUCAGUUUAUAUUUCCAAUCCCAAUUUCAACAGCUCAAGCUUAAAAUUACUUGUAGUUACCUCUUCAAAGAUACUACUGAAACAAAACAAGGUGCUUUUCCUGCCUCCCUUCCCAGUGAUGACAGUGCAGUUUCUUUGCCUUCUGGGUCUCUUUUGUCAUAACUGAACACGGAUUAAUUUCAGGAGGACUUUGUGACAGUCAGACAACGUACUGCAUCAUGAUUUCUAAAAGAUAUUACAAAGCUUUCUGAAAAAAAAAAAUCAGAAGAUGCUGUGUGUGAUUUUUUUUUUUUCAUCCUGCAGCGCCUCAACAGUUUUUCAAUUACCCCUAAUAUCACAUGCUCCAUUUCAGGUUCUCAGAACAAGAUACACAUGUCAUAUGUGAACGUAUUUACACCUAUCAAUAUAUUUCAUAAAGAAAGUUAUAAAUCCAUUAAUAGUUCAAGCUGCUGAAGUUCAGGAAACACUUUAUGAUCUCUAUAUUUUUUCCUCAAUAUCUUUCUCUUUUUUCUUUUUGUAAGAUCCUGCACGCUUUCAAAGCUCCUCUUAAUGAAAUUAAUUUGUGCAAAACUAUCCAAUGGCAGGAUGCAAAGACUCAGCAAGACUCAUCUUGGAGAUAAGGGGUGAUAAUAGUACAUUAUUUAUAAAUUCCAACAUGGAGUACUUCUCUGAAGUAUGAACUAGACUUGCAGAUGAUCGAUUAUUGCAAUAAUAUUGUGAGCUUCUUUAGGAUAUGUUAGACAAGACAGAUUAGCAAAGUUGUUCAGUAAGCAAUACACCACAUAAAGAAAAAAAAGAACUUAAAGUUACUCAAAUACUGCCUAUAAUUUUUUAAAUAAAUCUCCCUGUCUGUAGAGACAGACAAUCCAGGUAUAUCCAAAGAAGUCCCCUACAACCAAGUUUCAGUGUGCUUUUGUUUUACUAGAAGGAAAAAAUUCAGUAAGCAACAUCUAAGCAGUAGUAGGCUCAUAAAUAUCUACAGUGGAAGGACUGAAAGGCAAGAGAUCUUUGCAUGCGUGAGAACAUCAUUCCUUUCCUUGAUUAAUGGGAAUACUUUUGCUUACAUGCACGUAAUCCACAGCAACAACACACCUGGGGAAAGACAAAACUACCCUGAACAGUUGAAAAUAGUCUAAAUUAAGCAUAAUUCUUCCCUAUUUCAAGACAAAUAAUAAGACAAUGUUACAUUCAGACUGUUAAAAGAAAAAGGCAAUAUUUCAUCUUCAA